rnacentral:rRNA from 1 species
AAAAUGACUCUCGGCAACGGAUAUCUCGGCUCUUGCAUCGAUGGAGAACGCAGCGAAAUGCGAWACUUGGUGUGAAUUGCAGAAUCCCGUGAACCAUCGAGUCUUUGAACGCAAGUUGCGCCCAAAGCCAUUAGGCUGAGGGCACGCCUGCCUGGGUGUCAC